rnacentral:rRNA from 1 species
AAAUUGAAGAGUUUGAUCAUGGCUCAGAUUGAACGCUGGCGGCAGGCCUAACACAUGCAAGUCGAACGGUAACAGGAAGCAGCUUGCUGCUUCGCUGACGAGUGGCGGACGGGUGAGUAAUGUCUGGGAAACUGCCUGAUGGAGGGGGGAUAACUACUGGAAACGGUAGCUAAUACCGCAUAA